rnacentral:rRNA from 1 species
AUGGCCAGCAGUGUUUUCACCAUAUCAGGGUAUGUUGAAAUCGUCAUUAGUGUCUUCAUCGUACAUGACUUUGUCACUGUUGGGGGAAGAGCGCACCUAACAUCGGCCAAUGAGACAUUCGGUGCACAGGUGGGAGACCUCCUCCUCGACAUCCUGCUCCGCGUGGACGACGCGGCCGCGCUCUUCCGAUGUGCCGCGGCCUGCAAGCAGUGGCGAGGCCUCGUCGCCGACCCCGCCAUGCUCCGCCGCCGGUGGCCGGAGGACGCGCGCCCGUCCCUCGCCGGCUUCUUCAUCAAGAACCGGGUCCGUGAUCAAGAGGCCAAGGCGCUCGUCCCCACGCCACGGUCGGCGCUGGGCCGUCGGUGCCGUGGCCUCCGCUCCUUCGUGCCCACCGUGCCGGACCGCGCCGUGCCGCUGGCCUCCCGCCGCGGCCUGCUCCUCGUGCGCCUCAUCCCACCCCGCGAGGCAGACCUGGACCAGACGGUCCUCCGUCUGGCCGUGUGCAACCUUCUCCUCGGCACGUGCGACGAACUCCCUCCUCUAGUGCACACCACCUCUGUCAGGUAUAGUGACUAUGGAUGCUACUGUUGUGCCAUUCUAUCCAGUGACGAUUGUCGCUCCGGCAGCGGCGGACAGCCACCGCCCUUCUACGAAGUGCUAAUCGUCACGGCCGGCCAUGAGGGGGGGCGGACUAAGUUUGAUAUCCACACCUUCUCGACUGACAAACCGAGCUGGAGUACAAGGCGCUCCUAUGAAACUAUGUGGGACAAUACCAUCGGGUCAUUCUGUCAAACCGACGCCGUAGUCUGCCACGGCGUCGCGUACUGGCUAUUUCAUGAUGACAAGGAACGGUGUUUCCGUAUUGUUAAACUGAUGAUUGGCCAGGACGACUAUCUCAGAUUCACGUGGCUCCCGGACGAGAUGUUGCCUGACCGAGAUCACCGCCCGUGCCUUCGCCUGAACAGCGACGACACGCUCUCGGUGCUACAGAUGCAAGAGACAGGUUCCCGGCUACAGAUAUGGAGACAAGAGGGCCAAGACAGGUUCUAUCAUUCCUCACAAUGGCUCCACCCUCAGACGAUCGAGCUGAUACAACCAUACUGGAAGAAGACGACCCAAGGAAAAGACACACUUUCCAUACUGGGAGAGAAGUGUGGCAAAUUGCUUGUCAUGGACGGGCGCGGGCGCGUGUACACCGCCGAUCUCGAGACCGGAGCAAUGAAGGAGGUGGCGGACGGGCCUCACGCACGCCCCAACAGCCCUCUGGACGCCGUGCUCUUAGAGAUGGACUGGCCGGCGUUCUUCGUUUCACGUCUUGGUAUAGACAGGUAUAGCUACCCAUGA